rnacentral:lncRNA from 1 species
CUGUUACUCCGUGUCCUUCUUGCACAGUUCAAAUGUGCUAUCUCUGAAGUAUUCCCAUUCUUGAGAAAGGCUGUCCUGAUUUCCUUACAAUCAUUUCUAUUUGAACUCUAAACCUUCAGGAAAGAAUACUUUUCAACUCCAUUUUGCUGAUUAAUAGGGAAGAGGAAGCAUUUUUCUUAGUGGUAGUAAUGGAAGCUAUGCUGUGUUCAUUUUUAUUUUAUUAGAGUAGACCUCACGGGCAAAGAGAGUUGGCCCGGGCCAGCUCUCUACAUGGCAGAUCAAGGGGCUUAGAGGUGACAGUGAAACACUGGGUUUGAGCGAAACCGCGUGAGACCUGCUGUGGCGCCAAACUCCUUUACACUGGAUGGUCCAUGUUACUCAUUCAUUUGACAACUUCCCAAGACGUGGACUCUCCACAAGAGCUUAACUCCUUUCUCGUCACAGCUUCCCUGCUGCUUAUUUGUGAAAACUUUGCCCGAUGCUAAGGAAUGAAUGAGGCUUAAGAAGAAAAGACAUGUCAAGGAGAGCACGGAAACAAGCGCUAUUGCUGGAGAAAGUAAUAAAAUCUUGGUGAUGGUUCUCCAGAAGACCCUGUUCUCUCUCCUCAGCUCAGUCUGCCUGUUGGGAGCAAAGUCUCUUUUUCCAUCAGAGGAAGAAGCAUCCAUGAGGAGAAGUUAAAUCCCACACAGGAACAGGACCGUGUGCUGCUCACUGCUGCAGCUCAGUGCCCAGGUGGUGCCUGGCCCACAACAAUGGCUCAAUCCAUGUUGAGUGAAAUGCCCCAGCCACUCGGGCUCUCAGCAGAGCAGUUUGGAAACCUGCACUCCAUCCUUCUGCUUCUGCAAAUGUCCACAAGUGUGUCUUUGUAGAACAGAAAUUUGAAGGAACAAGUGAGUGAGCAAAUGAGGGUGUCCAUCCACUGUGUGUAGGCAGCCCUGCGGCCUGAAUCUAUGGAGGUCGCUGUUUACCAAGAAGCUCAGUCUUGAAAUGCAUUGUCACUCCACUUAACGGCCACAGCUUACAUUUUAAUAAAAUCUGGAAAUGUGA